rnacentral:tRNA from 1 species
GCCCCCUUCGUUCACUGGUUAGGACGUUGCACUUUCACCGCAAAGAAGCAGGUUCAAUUCCUGCAGGGGGCA